rnacentral:rRNA from 1 species
UGUUCCCGGGCCUUGUACACACCGCCCGUCAAGCCACGAAAGUCGGCAGUACCCAAAGUCGCUAUCCCAACCGUAAGGAAGGAAGCGCCUAAGGUAAGGCCGGUGAUUAGGGCU